AUUUGCCUCUUGACUAGAUGGAUGCCAUUGUCGACCCAUAUUUUGUGGCACUAGGAUUUCACGGAGGUGCCUUUAGACUAGAUGGAUGCCGGUUUCUUAUUAAUAUUAUUUUCUCUCUCUUUUUUUGAUGGAUCUCAAUUCUCGCUAGGGGUGUGCAAAUAGGUGGUUCAGUUUUAAACCGAAAACUGAAUUAGACAAAAUAUAGAAACUGAACCAAAUAAAGAAGGGAGCUGAAACGAACCAAUCUGAUUUGGUUCAGUACAGUUCAGUCGGUUUUCAAUUAAAACCUAAUAGAAACUCAGCUAAUUGAUGGAGAGAAGAACAUCACAUAAUGCAGAAAUUAAACUAACCCUAGGAUCAAAG
rnacentral:misc_RNA from 1 species